UAAAGUUAUUUAAGUUACUUAGAAAAUUAAUUUAUAUUUAGAAAUAUUUGGUAUUUUUCAACCAUUCUUUUUGGUAGUGUUUAAAGAUGUUUUUUAGUCCAGGUAUACUAUGCUAAUAUCACACAAGAGAAUGGUGUCUUUCUGUAUCCUUCCCCUAUAUCCGAAGAGGAAACCUGGAAGAUCCUCUAAUUUUGAUGUUAGGCCACCAGUGACCUGCAUAGCAAGUAUAAAGUAUAGGUACCCGAGAAAGUUACUACCCUCCGUCUAAAAGCUGGCUGAGGGUUUAUCGUUGACCAUAGGUUAAAUUAGCUGAGCAAGAAGGUAACACAUCAAAAAUCACAUCAGGAGACGAAAGAUUUAUACCAGGUUUAUGUAAAAGUUUAGCUCUAUCUUCAACUACUGCAGUGCAAGAAAUUCAAAACAUGUUAAUAAUACAACACAAGAGAACGGUGUCUUUCUGCACCUUUCCACAAAAGAGGGGACCUGGAUUAUCCUCUAACUCUGAUGUUUGGCCAUUGGGAAUCUGCAUCGCAUUAUAUGGGCACCGAAG